CGAAACGGGGAAGUCACUCCCUCUCUCCUCCCUCCGCCAAGGUCUGAACUCCAGCGUUUCUGCCUGCGUGUGUCGCUGCCGGCCGGAUUCAAGGCUUUGCAGCUGAGAUUCGACGGGCGGGUGGUACUGGUCACCGGCGUGGGGUGAAUGAUUUAGGAGGGGUCCACAGGGGAAUUGGUCAAGGCUCUUCAGCUGCUGAUAAAGUUGUUGCAGAAAUAAGAAGAAAAGGCGGAAAAGCGGUAGCCAACUAUGAUUCAGUGGAAGCAGGAGAGAAGAUUGGGAAGAGAGCCCUGGAUGCUUCUGAGAGAAUAGGUGAUGUUUCUAUGCAUUUAUGGCACUAACAGAAGCUUCUCCCUUCCUAAUAAAAUAUUUUUUAUUUUACUUUUAUUAAAAACUCCCUCUUUCUUGAUAAUGAAGUUUUUAGAUUUGUUUUAUAAAUUAAGUAGUUUACAUACCCUACCUUAUUCCACAGAGGGUUCGAGAUGACAGUUUUUAGGUGAAGAUGUAUUGAGAUUUUGCAUUUUUUUGUACUUUAAAAACUUUUAAAAAACCUGUAAGAUUCUCUAAGUUCCCUUUUUAUAGUAAUUUAAUUAUACCCCAUGUGUUAUAAUAAUAGUAUGUCAGCUAUACUUCAAUUUUAAAAAUUCUUUUGAACAUUAAAAAAAGGUUUAAGAAUUUAUACCCCAAAUGUCUUUAUAAAAUAGAAGAUAAGUCAGUGUUUUGACAAUAGAGAACCCAGUGGAUUCUUUUGGAUAAUUAUAAUGAUUUGGAUUAAAAUGAUUCAAUAUCUUACAAAUUAAUUAAGGUGAAUUAUAUAUAAUGCAAGGUUUUAUUUUUAAAGCAUUUCAAAUAUAUUGUUCAGUCCAUCCUUCUCUAGUUGUUCUUCCUGGUUUAGUCCCACACAUUUUAAAAAAGACUGUUGAGCUGCUAGAGGGCAGCAGUACUGCAGAUAAGCCCAACGUGUUUACAGUUUGAAAAACCUUAAUUUUCAUAAUUUGCGUUCCCUUCACCAUGGUUUUUUUUGCCUGGCAUAUUUAUUUUUCUAGUUAUGUUUGGUCUUGCUUAUAAGAGACAUGUUCACAUAUUAUCUGACAGAGGGAUAGAGACCACAAAGGUAUAAAAUCAUAGGGUGAAAUAGCCAUAAGAUGGCAGUCUGGAUCUUAAAAAAAUAAUUCCUUUCUUUUCAUAGUGAGAAUACAAUUAUGUAUUAAGACAGGCCACCAGUGUCUCACUAUAAUGGUUUCCUUUAUGGGCUUUUGACUUUUGAGGGGCAGGGAAAAUUUUUUGAAACUUGUAACUUUGUGAGUGGAUUUGGAGGUUAAACAAGGGAUGACCUGUACCACUCAAUCCUAAGAACCUAAAAGUCGUACAACAGCUUAUUCUGUAAAUAAGAUGGUGGCAUUUUGGUAGAAGGUUGAGGCAUUUAGCUAUGUAAGUUUGAGAGGAAAGCACCGAUAAAUGAGGUACUUGAGUUUUUGUGACUCAGAUAUUGUUUCUGCUGUCAUUAUAAAAUUUUGUUCUCAUAGCACUCUUUACCUAUUAUAUUUAUUUUGCCAUGGGGGGAAAACAGUUUUGAAAGAAAUGUGGGUUGUAAGCAAGUGCUGAUUAAUAUGUUAGCUUUUUUAUUUGUGACUUAGAUAUUUUUACAUUGUAGAUAUUGUGGUUAUACCACAAUGCUGGGUAAGUAUACUUACUUUUUUUUUUUUUAAGUCUUAAAUCCAUUUGGGAUUUAUUUCAGUCCAAGGUGUGUAGGAAGGAUCCAGCCUUACAUUUAUCUCCAACUGAUUAGACAGUUAUACAAACACCAGUUAUUAAAUAAUUCAUCCUUUCUUUGCUAAUUUGACAUGCCAUUGUUACCACAUACUAAAUUAUUAGACAUAUGUGGGUCAGUUUCUAUAUUUAAUUUUUUUUCUUUUACUGAUCUAUCUUUUCUGGGACCACCAGUAUACUGCUUUUAUUAUGGUGGCUUUUGUUAGCUGGUAGAAAAGGGAUUCUUGCCUUAUUUUUUGUUUAAAAACUUUCCUGAUGAAUUUUUGGAAUCCAGAUGACUCUGGAUUUCACAUUUAUUUUUUCAGAUGAACUUUGGAAUCGCCUUGUCAAAUAUCCCUUCCUACAAUUUGAUAGAUAUGUACUUACUGCCAUUUUAUUAAUUGUUUUCUCUUGUAUUUUAUUUUUAUUUAUUUUUAUUUUUUUCUCUUGUUUUUUGUAUCUCCUCUCUGUUCCUUUCUUCCUCUCUUAUAUUUUCCUCCUAUUAUUGAUGAUUUUCUUUAGAGUUGUAAUUGGAUUUCUCUCUCUUCUUAAAAUUUAUUUAUUCUUGUGUGUGUGUAUUUAUUGUAGGCUUUAGUUUUGGGGUUACCAAAGGUUCAAGAGUAGCUUCUUUACUAUAUAAUAGUCUAUCUUAAAUUGCUGAUUAGUCUAUUUCAAAUACAAUCUAAAGGAACUUUUUUCCCUUCUUCUUCCUCCUCCACAUUUCUUGUAUUAGAUGUCAUAAUCUGCACUUUUUGUGUAUCCCUUGAGUGAUUUUGUGUAUAGUUGAUGGUGCUUCUUUUGCUUUAAUUUUGUGCUUGCUUGGUAAUUAGUUGGUCUACUACCUUUACUGUGGGCUUAUUUUCACGGGUGAAAGCUGUGUAGCCUUCAGGUCAUUUCUAUCUACAGCAGUCCCUUUACCGUAUCAUGUGAGACUUAGUGGCUCUAUUUUAGGUUUUCUGUCUCUGUUGAAGUCCUCCCUGAGAUCUUGAAUACUUUUCUGUAAAUCCGUGAGCAUGUUUAUGACUAAAUUUGAAAUCUUUAUCAAGAAGAUUGGUGACCUCUGUUUCAUUUAGCCUUCUUUCUGGGGUUCUGUCUUGUAGUUUUGAUUGGAUCAAAUCCCUCUGCCUUCUCAUUUUGUCAGGGCUUCUGUUUCUUCCUUUGUAUUAGGUGUCUGGGCUCUGCUUUCUGGCCUGUGGAAUGAUAGCUUUAUGAAGAAGGUGUGCUAUGGUUCCCAGAAGCUCAAGAUUCUUUGCUCUCCAGUGCCUGGCCCCAUUUUGCAGGGGCCCCAGUUGCUGGCAUGCUGUGGGCAGGGCACCCUUCUGUCUGGCUUCUGUAGUGGUCUUAGUCUGGGUGGGCAGUUUGCUUGAACUGCUGCCUUUGUGAUCAGCUCAGGAGUCUCUGCUGAGCUCGCUGUGGGUGCCCCACCCUCUGCCUGGCCUGCAGCAAUGACAGGGCUGCAGGGUUAAUGGGGUGGCUGGAGUGAUGCGCCUCAGCUGGAUGCACAGCAUGGGGUUUAGACACCCUCAGGGAGGAAGGAGCUCCUGGGGCUGUUGCCUCCAGGCACCUCUCUGGCUGCGCUGAAAUGGAGGCAGGCAAGCUGGGAGAGUCUCCCUCCACCUGCCGGGCAGCAAAGGCUGAUGCUGAUGCUGGGCCACGUGGGCGGGUUGCCCCAGUGCCCAGGGAGGGGCCUCAGGGCUGCAUUGCAAGCAACAGAUGGAGCAUCUGGAGACCCCGAGGGUUCCCGAUCUGUGGGGCUGAGGAAGGGCUGGGGAGGUACCCUCCACCUGCUCGUUCUCCUGAGGACAGAGUUCUGUCCAACCCUCACCUCUCUAGUACCCCUCCCACUGCUGGCACUCCCACUUUGGGUCUCAGGACCAGCAGAGCAUGCCUGCCCUCCACACUGGCUGGAGUCUCAGCCUCCCAGAGUGUCCCGCCUGCCCCUGGUGUCCAGCCCCAGGAACCACCGGAACCCAGUGUGACGUGGGCUUGUGCUCCCAGAGCAGAUCCCCAGGGCCAGAUAUGCAGCACUCCCGGGAGCCUUCCCCUUCCCCUCUCCGGUCCUCUCCUGCCUGGAGGCUGGGCUGGAGGCAGGGCUUGAGU